rnacentral:rRNA from 1 species
UACGUAGGGGGCGAGCGUUAUCCAGAUUUACUGGGCGUCAAGAGCGUGUAGGCGGCUUGGUAAGUCCGCUGUGAAAGUCCAGGGCUCAACCCUGGAAUGCCGGUGGAAACUGUCAAGCUUGAGUCCGGAAGAGGCGAGUGGAAUUCCUGGUGUAGCGGUGAAAUGCGUAGAGAUGCGGAGGAACACCGAUGGCGAAGGCAGCCCCCUGGGCUAGCACUGACGCUCAGGCACGAAAGCGUGGGGAGCAAACAGG